rnacentral:tRNA from 2 species
CUGGCCGCCAGCCGGCGGCAGGCGCAGGUUGUAGGCCUGCAAGCGGUCGCCGCCGGCCUGGCGGAUGCUGUUCCAUACCGCCGCGUAGUC